UUGUUGUUCGAUCAGGCAGAGACCAAAAAGGGAGAAACCCUAGCUCUUAGAGAUUAUCAAGAUUAAGGAGAAAUUGAGAGCCCAAACCAAUGCUAGAACCCGAAAUUUCAUCCAUCUAAGCUUGAACAUCAAAAGGCGUGAAGGAAGAAAGCACGAACACUAAUAGGGCGGAAGGUGUACAAGACCGAGGUAAAUCCUCGAUUUAGACGAUUGGACGGCCCGGAACGUGCACACUUGGUUUACGCCCGCCUCACGCUUCCGUUAUAAAUUACUUUUGAAAUGGGUCAAUUUUGUGGUCGUAUGUACUUUAAGUCUAUGUAGUAUGUUGUUGUCUUGUUGUAGGGCAAAAACUUAGUAG